rnacentral:lncRNA from 12 species
AUGAAACUCCAGAUGAAUUAUUAUUUUUUUUCUCUCUGCUGGCUUUACUUCCAGGUGCCCCCGUCUCAGUCAUGUUUCCUCAGAAAAGCACCUCAUCAGCCAGCCGGGGCCUUCUUGCCAAUGAUUUGGAAGAAGGAAGGAGGGGGUCUCUGCAUAUCGGCGGCUGCUCAUUCCACUGGCCACACUGGCCCUGCACUCUCCGCUGUGUGUUUUGUCUUCCUGGUAAGCCGUACGUAGUUGGAAGACGAGGAUCCUCCUGGCCUUUCCUUCCCCCAAGAAGUGGAUAACAGUCCCUGGGUAGAAUGAGCGCCAAGUAACUCCCUUGCGGUUGAUGGUGAAAUCUGUCUAGGCAGCACAGUCAGCUUUCUGCUGUUAAAAGAUUAAACAUAUUAAAAAAUUUUAAGAGUUUAUCUACGCAAAAAUCAAAUCAAUCAAAUCUGGCAGUCCCCAACUGGUAGCGACUAGGAGUGCCCAGCAACAGCAGCGAAGGGAAAGACGUGUAGGAAAGGUAUGAACGCAAAGAAAGGAAAUAUCCGAUCGGCUCUAGCGCAAAGGCUACUUGGCCAUAAGUGGUUGUCCUUGGGUUUGAUCUCUUAACCUUGAGGCAUUUACAGCCAUCAGCCUCUGUAGCAUUGAGUCCCUUCAGUCUAAUGGCUCCCUUGUGUAGUUAAUUUAACAUUGCUUGUUGGGUUCUGAUCAAGACAGGGCUACUGGGGUUAGCACCAUUUCACUGGCUAGAACCAAGAUAGCUUUAAAUAACUUUGCCAGCCUGGUGCUGGGGUUCCAAACCCCCUCCAGUGAGGAAAUGAGAGUUUCACGCUCUUCUGGUAUUGUCAAGAGCACCGCCACUACCAAAGACAAAGAAAAUGACACAGAGAUAUUGGGCAUUAUCACAAUAUGGCAGGUCUUGUAGAGUGAUGUUCUUUUUUUCCCAGUUAGAGAAUGUCAAUCUAGAAUGUCAAGUCUAGAAAAUGACGUAGAGAAUGUCAGGGCUUGAAGGAACUUCGGGAAUCAACCUUGGCUUCAUGUAACCAGAUGAAGCAAGAGUCCCAGGAACUUUACCUUUGGUCAUACAGUCAGUCAGCAGGGAACUAGAGCCAAGCAGCCUGCCUGUUGGUGCAGAGUGCUUCCCAUUGUUUCAGGCAGAGCUCUUGAUUGUGAGCGAUGGGACCCUACUGGCAGGAAGUCCAAGAUGCACUGAUGUUAGGCAUGGCGGGAUCCAAGGACUCGGGGUAUA